GUCUCCUUAGCUCAGCUGGAUAGAGCGUCGGUCUUCUAAACCGCAGGUCGCGCGUUCGAAUCGCGCAGGAGGCACCA
rnacentral:tRNA from 7 species